UUGGACAAUGGGGGAAACCCUGAUCCAGCAAUGCCGCGUGUGUGAAGAAGGCCUUCGGGUUGUAAAGCACUUUCGGUGGGGAAGAAAUUCUCAAGGGUAAUAUCCUUGGGCGUUGACGUUACCCACAGAAGAAGCACUGGCUAACUCUGUGCCAGCAGCCGCGGUAAUACA
rnacentral:rRNA from 1 species